AAUCAUAAACGACUCUCGGCAACGGAUAUCUCGGCUCACGCAUCGAUGAAGAACGUAGCAAAAUGCGAUACUUGGUGUGAAUUGCAGAAUCCCGUGAACCAUCGAGUUUUUGAACGCAAGUUGCGCCCGAAGCCUUUUGGCCG
rnacentral:rRNA from 1 species